AGAGUUUGAUCAUGGCUCAGGACGAACGCUGGCGGCGUGCUUAACACAUGCAAGUCGAGCGGUAAGGCCUUUCGGGGUACACGAGCGGCGAACGGGUGAGUAACACGUGGGUGAUCUGCCCUGCACUUCGGGAUAAGCCUGGGAAACUGGGUCUAAUACCGGAUAUGACCUCCUAUCGCAUGGUGGGUGGUGGAAAGAUUUAUCGGUGCAGGAUGGGCCCGCGGCCUAUCAGCUUGUUGGUGGGGUAAUGGCCUACCAAGGCGACGACGGGUAGCCGACCUGAGAGGGUGACCGGCCACACUGGGACUGAGACACGGCCCAGACUCCUACGGGAGGCAGCAGUGGGGAAUAUUGCACAAUGGGCGAAAGCCUGAUGCAGCGACGCCGCGUGAGGGAUGACGGCCUUCGGGUUGUAAACCUCUUUCAGCAGGGACGAAGCGCAAGUGACGGUACCUGCAGAAGAAGCACCGGCUAACUACGUGCCAGCAGCCGCGGUAAUAC
rnacentral:rRNA from 1 species